rnacentral:lncRNA from 1 species
AGUCCAGCCCCCUGCCUUCACUAGCAGGACCAAGUACUGAUUUUGCCCCAGAUCCCUAAGUGGCCCCCUCAAGGAUUGAACUCACAACCCUGGGUUUAGCAGGCCAAUGCUCAAACCACUGAGCUAUCCCUCCCCCCUAAUUUUCUAUUAACAGUUCCAUUGUUGAAGCUGAUUGUGGUGUCGAGGAAGUUGAUGCUAGUGUGGAAGUAUUCCAGGGAGAGUUUAAUGGACAGGUGGUGGUUGCUGAAGUUGUGGUGGAAAUCUACAACUACACUGCAAAUUCAGAGCAGUCACCCCUGGAGCACACUGAUCCUCUGCCUUUUUGCAAACAACAGAUACACACACUGGAUUUCAGAGGAGGGCAACAACAAUGAGAAAAAGGGCUAGCAGGUUGGAUGUUCCUGGCCUACAGCAAAGAUGACAGUGGAGAGAUGUAAUGGACCAAGUGUUUUCUUCUUGUAACUCCUUUGACACCAGCCACCAUUGGCUUAGUGGCCUGACCAUGGUCUGGAAAUCCCCAGGCUCCCUGGAACUGUAGGUUCGAUCUGUGCAGGAUCACCUCACGUCUUCACCCUUCUGCAGUAGCGAUUCAGUCCAAGCAGUUUACUAUGUAUUGGCCAGUCAGCUGCCCCCAAAGUCCCUACACCUGGAUCCCUUAGCGCUUUCCAUAAGGGUUUGUCUUGUGAGCUUAGCCAGCGUUUGCCCUUCUGCAGUGUUGUAUGAUGGUGGCUGCCUUUCGCACCAGAGGGAGCUGCCUUUCAGUGGUGUGUGUGUAGACGGAUGUCCAGCACUUGGGGAUGGAGACUCUCGAGAACUGUAGGAUUUCUGAAGAUCAGCAUGAUUAAAGAACGCAUGUCCCUUUUCCUUGGAGACAAGUUGCAAGGAAAUGCAAAUAGAGCCAAGGUGACAAGCACCCAGAGGAGGGAUGCAACCAGCCUGCUUGGUGGCUUUAAAGCAGGUGAGGAGGCGUUCACCUUCUGCAGCAUUGACUGGCAUUGAAACACAAAAGUGAGUCUCUAGCCUUCCUGUGCCUGCUAAAAUCUUCCAAAUGUGAACCGAGUGUAAGUGAAGCAGCAGGAGCUUCUCAAGUCUGGGACCGUGGUUCUGAGAGAUGUGACCUUUCCUGCCCCCAUUCCCUGCCAACUGCAUGGACAUGCUUUAAAAGCACCAUAAUAGAGGCUCAAACUAAACAUACCCUCACCCUCCAAAAAUGCCACCAUGGCUUAACAGCAGAGUAAAAGAAGUGGUUAGAGGCGAAAAGGCAUCCUUCAAAAACUGGGAGUCAAAUCUUACUGAAAAACAAAUAGAAAGGGAGCAUAAGUUCUGGCAAGUCAGUGGAAAAGUAUGCUAAGGCAGGCCAAGAAAGAAUUCAAAGAGCAGCUAGCUAAGGACACAAACACUAACAGCAACAUUUCUAUUAAGUAUACCCACCAAACAGUCAGGGGGGCCACUGGACGAUCGAGAUACUAAACGAGCACUGAAGGAAGACAAAGCUGUUGUAGAGAAGCAAAAUAAAUUCUUUGCAGUGGUUUUCA